UAACUUAUUUCCCAAAAUUUUCCCCCUCCCGUUUCCCUCUUUUCAUUUUCCCUCCCUUUUCCUAUUUUCUCUCACAUGCUGCCUCUCUUCCCUUAUCACACGCAACCUUCCGAUUUUUUUCACACUAAAAAGCCCCCUCUUAUUUUCUUCACGUCAGACGACCCUCCCAAAUUUCUUUUCUCGCCCCCCUCUUCUCAUCGAACGUGUCCCCCUUCCCUUCCGAUUUUCUUCUCACCGAAAAGCCCCCUUCACCUUUGAUUUUCUUCACGUGGAAUGGCCCCCACCGAAUUUCUUCACCACCGGAGUUCUUCUCGAUCUCCCUUCUUCUCACUGGACACGCCCCCUUCUGAUUUUCUUCUCACCGAAAAGCCGCCCCCCUCUGAUUUUCUUCCCUUUUUUCGUUCACUACUGAAUGUUAGAGGAUGAGAGUUUUUCUUUUUUGUUUUUUGAGUUCAAUGUAUUUGUUUUCUUUGAUUGAUUUCGUUGGUUUUUUAUUCAGGGUGGUGAGAGUUCAUCGAUGAUUUGGUUUCAUUCAAAGAAUUUGUUUUGAUUUGCAGAAUGGUAGGUGGAAUUUUCAGGUGAACAAUAUACACAUUUCUAUUCAAUAAUCUUCAAAAUAUUUGGUGUAUAAUUAUUUUGUUCUUUUUGUCUUGAACCCAGAUUCUCUACAACAAAUAGGUAAGCAAUAGUGUGCUCUUUGUUUAUUAGUGAUUUAGUGGAGCUUGAUAAAUGUGAAUGUUGUAAGAAGAUCAAAGGAAGUUCGUUUUUUGUCUCUCCCUUUACUCUUGUAAUGUUUUUCUUUGCAGAUGCGGGGAGGUGUUGAAGCACUUAACUCAGUUGAAUAGGUACUCUUAGACUGAUACAAGAAGUUUCUACUCACAGCUUGAAUUGGAUGAAGUAUCAGCGGAGUGGGCUGAAUUUUUAGCUUUGCACAUAUGAUAGACAUCCUUAGAUGUGAUCUUAUUAAUUUUGUGAAUGACUAAUAUAUGGGAAUGCCCAUAACUUUUUUUUUUUUUUUUUUUUUGUAAAUGUUUCGUUCAUAGCUAUUAUGCUUAUGUACAUGCAAUAGAUGUAAAGGGGAUAGAUUUUAUUUUUGGUAUACCACACAUGUUUUUGGUUAUAUAAGAUAAUUAUUUUGUUGAUUUUGGAAUAGGCCACAUAUAGGAAAUUUUAGUUGACUAUAUUGGAUUGGAAUUGUGUAAUUGUUGACGAUGUUGUUGAGAGUAAUAAAAUUAUUGUUGGUUUACUUAUACUAAA